AUUGAACGCUGGCGGCAUGCCUUACACAUGCAAGUCGAACGGCAGCACGGGAGCAAUCCUGGUGGCGAGUGGCGAACGGGUGAGUAAUAUAUCGGAACGUGCCCAGUAAUGGGGGAUAGCCCGGCGAAAGCCGGAUUAAUACCGCAUACGACCUACGGGUGAAAGCGGGGGAUCGCAAGACCUCGCGUUAUUGGAGCGGCCGAUAUCAGAUUAGCUUGUUGGCGGGGUAAAAGCCCACCAAGGCGACGAUCUGUAGCUGGUCUGAGAGGACGACCAGCCACACUGGGACUGAGACACGGCCCAGACUCCUACGGGAGGCAGCAGUGGGGAAUUUUGGACAAUGGGCGCAAGCCUGAUCCAGCCAUGCCGCGUGUGGGAAGAAGGCCUUCGGGUUGUAACCACUUUGUCAGGGAAGAAACGGCUCUUACUAAUAUUAGGAGCUAAUGACGGUACCUGAAGAAUAAGCACCGGCUAACUAACGUGCCAGCAGCCGCGGUAAU
rnacentral:rRNA from 1 species